AUACGGAGGGUGCAAGCGUUACUCGGAAUCACUGGGCGUAAAGCGCGCGCAGGCGGUCUUUUAAGUUGGAUGUGAAAGCCUACGGCUCAACCGUAGAACUGCAUCCAAAACUAUUAGACUAGAGUGUGGGAGAGGAAGAUGGAAUUAGUUGUGUAGGGGUAAAAUCCGUAGAGAUAACUAGGAAUACUAAAAGCGAAGGCAAUCUUCUGGAACACUACUGACGCUGAGGCGCGAAAGCGUGGGGAGCAAACGGGAUUAGAAACCCCAGUAGUCC
rnacentral:rRNA from 1 species